AUGCAGUUAUGUUGUGCUGCUUAUUCUUACCUACCCCUUACUUUCUGCACCAUUUUCAAUUUGAGAGAAUUUUUAGGAGUCAUAUGUCCAACACAAGAGAGAAUUUUUAGGAAACUUCCCAAGGGAAAUAUUAAAGAAUUGAAGAUGGAGGAUUUUCCCAACCGAGAAAUCAUAGUGAAUGCUUUUUCAUUUAUUCCUUCCUAA
rnacentral:lncRNA from 1 species